rnacentral:rRNA from 1 species
UCUACGGGGGGCAGCAGUGGGGAAUAUUGGGCAAUGGGCGCAAGCCUGACCCAGCAACGCCGCGUGAAGGAAGAAGGCUUUCGGGUUGUAAACUUCUUUUGUCAGGGAAGAGUAGAAGACGGUACCUGACGAAUAAGCCACGGCUAACUACGUGCCAGCCGCCGCGGUAAGACGUAGGUGGCAAGCGUUGUCCGGAUUUACUGGGUGUAAAGGGCGUGUAGCCGGGUUGACAAGUCAGAUGUGAAAUCCUGCGGCUUAACCGCAGAACUGCAUUUGAAACUGUUUAGCUUGAGUACUGGAGAGGCAGACGGAAUUCCGAGUGUAGCGGUGAAAUGCGUAGAUAUUAGGAGGAACACCAGUGGCGAAGGCGGUCUGCUGGACAGCAACUGACGGUGAGGCGCGAAAGCGUGGGGAGCAAACAGGAUUAGAUACCCCAGUAGUC